AGCCGUGAUGCCUCCCCUGCCGACGGGGAUGGCCGACUUUUGGCGAGUCAACCCCUCCCCCAAAUCCACCCCACCCGCGUACUCCCUCCUGACCUAGCUGUCGCGAUCCUGCUGCGAGGAGGCCAGGGUGAGGGUAGGAACGCAUCCUAGAAGGGUAACACGUGUUUUCUAUCAUUUAAGUCGGGGACUAACCGGAAGGCUGACUAUCGCCAUCACUCUGAUAGGCACCCGCAGUGGGGAUCCUGCUAGAUUAUUAAAGGCAGACCUCCAAGUUCCUGCCUCCUCUGCAACCUUUCUCCUCUCACGGAUCUGCAGUGUUUUAAAAGUCGUCAUUCUGUGUCGUUGGGUUAGAGGGGAAAACAUUGGAUAAAAGAGUAUCAGGAAGAACCCUAGAUACAUCUGUCUGAUGAAAGGAGUCUAGGAAAAGAAGUUUCAUUCUUAGAAUAAAUCUUUUUGGAUAUUUAUUAUGUGUGUUUUGUGUCAGGUUUCGUGCCAAAAAGCCGAAAUAAAGAACGAAGUCAAUAAUAAUAUGGAGUAUACGAGAAAUAGCUGGAAAAUUCAUCAUUCAUGGCUUGAAGAAAUUGACAUUUUACAAGUUGUAUUUUCGGUUCGUAUUGUGGAGUCAUUUAAGGAGCUAUCCCAAAGUACUUUAGGAUAUGUAACUAUAUAAAACCUUCCAAGAAUGCAGCCCUCAUAGGAGAGUUAAAAUAAGGAUUUUAAUGGACUAUUUUGAUUUGGUUUGGUCUGGUUUGGCUACCUGAUUCCUGCUGUCUUUUCCCAUGCUAGCCGAAGAGGCACUUUCAAGAUCCUUCCCUGAAACCUGUACCAAUAAGACUAUACCAAUGUUCAGUUGAAACAUCAGGUAUAAGUUUAGCGGAAGCGAAAGUACAACCUGCUUUGAAAUAAAUUCCAAGGACAGAUUGUCAUUAACGAAAUAGAAAUUGGACUAUGCCCCUGAUGCUGCCAGCGCCUGGUAUGAUGCGGCGUGACGCGCAGCGCUUGCGGCAGUACAAUGCCCUCAAUCACCCGCCCGGCACCGACGCGCCGCCCACUCACGGCAAAGAGAGCCACCUAGUGAGAGAUUAUUCUCAUUUCCGCGAUACUGUUCUAGUUAUGAUGGAUACCACAAUGAAAGAGACCUGGUUCCUGUCUUGAGGGAACCCACCUGCUGGUAGAGAUCUCAGAAUGAUGAUUAGGAUGCAAUAUAAGGGAUGCAGUAAUUGGGAAGGUGCCUGCUUCGCCUUCCACCAUGAUUGUAAGUUUCC